rnacentral:rRNA from 1 species
GCUUGUCUCAAAGAUUAAGCCAUGCAUGUCUCAGUAUAAGCUUGUGCAUAGUGAAACUGCGAACGGCUCAUUAUAACAGUUAUAAUUUGUUUGGUGUUCAAGUUUACAUGGGUAACUGUGGUAAUUCUAGAGCUAAUACAUGCGUAAAAUCCCGACUCUCGCGGGGAGGGAUGUAUUUAUUAGAUAAAAAACCAAUGCGGGGCAACCCGGUUUUGUGGUGAAUCAUAGUAACUUUUCGGAUCGCAUAGCUUCACGCUGGCGAUAGUUCAUUCAAAUUUCUGCCCUAUCAGCUUUCGACGGUAGUGUAGUGGACUACCGUGGCGUUAACGGGUGACGGAGAAUUAGGGUUCGAUUCCGGAGAGGGAGCCUGAGAAACGGCUACCACAUCCAAGGAAGGCAGCAGG